UCUGCAGAGCAAAGUCCCUCACAGACCAGAUGCUGGGAUGCAAAUGAAAGCCUCCAUUCUCUCAUGACAUCCAAGGCCCUGAUCCUGCAAAUUCAUCUGCACAGGCAAAUCUCUCGUCCUGUACUGCUCGAGACCUUGUGAUAGCCCAACCCUGCAGAUCAGCCACGGGACAGCUCAGGAAGCCGCUGCAGAGAAAUGGAAAGUUUCUUCCAGAAAAAAAACAGCUUCGCCACGGCUCUGAACCACUGUCCCACAUCUCAUAUAAAAUAAGUCUGGGACAACCUAGAAAUCUGCACUGAGGCUCUAUUGCAGGUGUGGUCCAACACGAGACCAGACUAAGCUGAGGCAGAGGAAACAUUGGAGCCAGGCCGGCUCAUCAAGUCUGCAGUAGAAAUCUCUUUUGAAGUCAGCAAAGAGCUCUGCACAGACAUCAGGAUAGCCCUUCGAUUUACAUAGCUUCAAGCCUACUGUUGACCAAUGCAGCAUUCAAUGGACAUCAUAAUCCUCAAGAAAUGAAAUCCCUCAUUUCACCAAAAAUGCAAAUUAUGAUAUAAUAGUAUGAUAUUAAUCAGAAUAUGAUUCUGAUUUCUUCUUCUUCUGUAUGGCAGGGCACAGUGAGAGUCAGCUGCUCCCUGAGGGAUGGAGACCCAAGGUGACCCCAGUGCACGCCAUGCCCUCCCCAGUGGAGCGUCGUCCCACGGUGCUGAGCACUGCAGGCAGAGCCGGGAGCCAGUAACAUUGUCCAUUGACAGCCCCAGACAUGGCAUGCUGUGACCCAGGUCCAGGGCCAUCCAGACAGCCCAGUCAGGAGCAAAAGGAGAUGGGUCAGAGAGAGGGCUGGCAACCAGCACUGCUACAGCAUCAUGACGCAGGGACUGAAGUCCUGGGCUGAGCUGAAAUGGGGCUCCUGAGGCCAUUGGAUGUGGGGGAAGGUCCCAGGUGAGGCACGUCAGGGCCAUUAAACCCUCAGGGCCCUGACAAUGUCGUCCCUACUAGGCACACUACAGAAGACAAAGCCAGCACUAGUCAUUUCUCUAUGAGAACUCAGGAAUCUCUACUUCCAGAUGGGAUCUCCUAGGCUAAAGGAAAUUUCCAUCUUGUAAUCUGAGCUAUCACCAACACACAACAAGACACAGAAAAAUGAAAAGGUGCAGGUGUGAGUUAAAGAGGAAGGGAAGCAAGGAACAGAGGUUCAGCUCAAGAAAAAUACUCAGGUACAUCAACGGACCAUCCAUCACGGUCAGCCACCUCAGGCGAAAUUCAAAAGAUCUUCCUCACUCAGAAACUGAGUGUGGUUCUCGAAACCAGGUAUCAAAGAAGACCUAAGCAGCAUCUGAGGAUGCAGCGAAGACAGAGCCUUCUCUGCUUGACUGUCCCUGCUUCAUCUUGAUUCUUCUGCUCUUUCUUUGCUGGGUUAGUCUGACAGAUUUGUUCAGAACAGCAGCACACAUCACAGUAAACAGUUGUCUGAAGUUAUCACUUGCAGCCAUAGAUUUUCAACUGUCAUCAACGGACUUUUCUGUCCUGAUUCUCUGCCUGCUCAGUCCUGACUUCAGUAGACCUCAUCUGGUUUGCAUCAGCUCAGAAUCAGGCUCUCCAAGCUCUGCUGUUAUUUAUGUUAGCUCAGUACCCACAAUAACCUCUGGGAACAGGUCCCAGUGUACCAAGCUCUGUAGAAACGUGGAAAGAGAGACAGUAUUUGCCCCAAGGAGCUUACAGGUGCCAGAAGUGAAACAGUGAAAGACACGCCGCGAAAGAAAGAUGUCUGAUUGAACAUGGCAUAAUGUUGCAGGUUGGAUGUCUGAAUGCCACAGAAGGAUUAUGCUAUACAGCACUGCUUAGAUUUGUGUUUCCAUCCUAAUGUACUAAACCCUUCUAAGGUUAAGCUCAGCCAAUUUAGGAAUACAAAUAAUCUCAAAAAGUCCCAUUUUGGAAGCCUCCAUUCCUUAGGAAACCAGUGACAGCAUGAUGAUGUUGCUCUAAAUUCACCUCCGGGCAAACCAGGCUUAAUCACUGCUGUGAAAUUGUUGCCUUCUUUCCUGCCUCUCUCGUACCUUUCCUGCCUGCUCUCCAUUUGACACUUUUCACUGUGACAGUCAUCAGCCAGUGUGUAAUAUAAUCAAAAGACUGCUUCUGGCUUAAAGCAGCUCCAGCAAGAAUUCUUCACAGCAAACUACAUUAAAAUGCAACCCCUGUCCUGUACCUUCCCCUAUGUAACUCUCUGCUCCUUUCCUCCACUCCAUGCUUUGGGUUUAGGAGGUAUCGUUUUGUUUGUUUGUUUGUUGUAGUUGUUGUCAUUGUUUUUAUACUAUCAUAUUAUCCCAUGUUGCAAUUGUAAAACCACAUUAUAAAAGCAGGCAAUAUUGAACUAAUUUUAUCACAGGGCUAGUAAUAAAGUUUAACACCAACCAUAAUAUUGUUGUACAUCAGAAAUAUUGCAACAGAACAGUAAUAUCCUGUUAAAUU